AGAGUUUGAUCCUGGCUCAGGAUGAACGCUGGCGGCGUGCUUAACACAUGCAAGUCGAACGAAGCAUUUGCGACAGAUUUCUUCAGAUUGAAGUUGCUUAUGACUGAGUGGCGGACGGGUGAGUAACGCGUGGGUAACCUGCCUCACACAGGGGGAUAGCAGUUGGAAACGGCUGAUAAUACCGCAUAAGCGCACAGUACCGCAUGGUACAGUGUGAAAAACUCCGGUGGUGUGAGAUGGACCCGCGUCUGAUUAGCUUGUUGGCAGGGUAACGGCCUACCAAGGCAACGAUCAGUAGCCGACCUGAGAGGGUGACCGGCCACAUUGGGACUGAGACACGGCCCAGACUCCUACGGGAGGCAGCAGUGGGGAAUAUUGCACAAUGGAGGAAACUCUGAUGCAGCGACGCCGCGUGAGUGAAGAAGUAAUUCGUUAUGUAAAGCUCUAUCAGCAGGGAAGAUAGUGACGGUACCUGACUAAGAAGCUCCGGCUAAAUACGUGCCAGCAGCCGCGGUAAUACGUAUGGAGCAAGCGUUAUCCGGAUUUACUGGGUGUAAAGGGAGUGUAGGUGGCAUCACAAGUCAGAAGUGAAAGCCCGGGGCUCAACCCCGGGACUGCUUUUGAAACUGUGGAGCUGGAGUGCAGGAGAGGCAAGUGGAAUUCCUAGUGUAGCGGUGAAAUGCGUAGAUAUUAGGAGGAACACCAGUGGCGAAGGCGGCUUGCUGGACUGUAACUGACACUGAGGCUCGAAAGCGUGGGGAGCAAACAGGAUUAGAUACCCUGGUAGUCCACACUGUAAACGAUGAUUACUAGGUGUUGGAGGAUUGACCCCUUCAGUGCCGCAGUUAACACAAUAAGUAAUCCACCUGGGGAGUACGACCGCAAGGUUGAAACUCAAAGGAAUUGACGGGGGCCCGCACAAGCAGUGGAGUAUGUGGUUUAAUUCGACGCAACGCGAAGAACCUUACCAAGUCUUGACAUCCUGCGACGGUGCUGGAAACAGUACUUUCCUUCGGGACGCAGAGACAGGUGGUGCAUGGUUGUCGUCAGCUCGUGUCGUGAGAUGUUGGGUUAAGUCCCGCAACGAGCGCAACCCUCAUGGUCAGUUACUACGCAAGAGGACUCUGGCCAGACUGCCGUUGACAAAACGGAGGAAGGUGGGGAUGACGUCAAAUCAUCAUGCCCUUUAUGACUUGGGCUACACACGUACUACAAUGGCGUUAAACAAAGAGAAGCAAGACCGCGAGGUGGAGCAAAACUCAGAAACAACGUCCCAGUUCGGACUGCAGGCUGCAACUCGCCAGCACGAAGUCGGAAUUGCUAGUAAUCGCAGAUCAGCAUGCUGCGGUGAAUACGUUCCCGGGCCUUGUACACACCGCCCGUCACACCAUGAGAGCCGGGGGGACCCGAAGUCGGUAGUCUAACCGCAAGGAGGACGCCGCCGAAGGUAAAACUGGUGAUUGGGGUGAAGUCGUAACAAGGUA
rnacentral:rRNA from 1 species